rnacentral:rRNA from 1 species
UACAGAGGUCCCGAGCGUUGUUCGGAUUCAUUGGGCGUAAAGGGUGCGUAGGCGGCGGGGCAAGUCUGAUGUGAAAUCCUGGGGCUCAACCCCAGAACUGCAUUGGAUACUGCUUUGCUAGAGUACUGGAGAGGGAACUGGAAUUUACGGUGUAGCAGUGAAAUGCGUAGAGAUCGUAAGUAAGGCCAGUGGCGAAGGCGAGUUCCUGGACAGUGACUGACGCUGAGGCACGAAGGCCAGGGGAGCAAACGGG